CCAGACCGCUAGGGGAGUAGUUGCUACUGAGAGUUCCGCCGACCAUCGCGGAACGACCCUUUGAACCUGAUCCGGGUCAUUCCGGCGUAGGGAAGCGGCGCGUUGCCAGG
rnacentral:ncRNA from 2 species